rnacentral:lncRNA from 1 species
CCGCGAGGCGCCAGGGCUGCGCCAGGGCAUGGAAGAGGGGCUAAUGGACGCGAAUUAAUGAGGGUACCUACCACACGUGCAGCGCUGUGUCUCGCUGAGUUUUCUGAAGUUUCCUCCAAAUAGGAAGAAGACCUCGGAAGAGAUAUUUCAGCACCUGCAGAACAUAGUGGACUUUGGCAAAAAUGUCAUGGAGUUUUUGGGGGAGAACUAUGUUCAUUGUGGGGAAGUUGUUCAGCCACCUUUAGAGUUUGUGAAACAGCUUCGUUUAAAGAUACAAGAAAGACCAGAGUCUCACUGUGACAAGGACCUGGACACUCUCAGUGGUUACAGUAUGUGCCUUCUCCAUUUAACCAGACUUCAGACCUACCACUUUUCAGAGCACCAUCGGCCGAUUCUGUGUGUAGAGAUUAAGCCAAAACGUGGGUUUAUUCCUUUCUCGAGUGAUGUCACGCAUGACUGUCGUUCAAGGUGCAGCAGUACUGCAUCACCAUGACUGCCAAGGACUGCUCCAUCAUGAUUGCACUCUCUCCGUGUCUGCAGGAUGCCAGAUCUGAUCAAAGGCCUGUCAUCCCUUCAUCAAGGCCCAGGGUUGCUUUCUCCAUGUCUGUGGUGGACCUUGACCUCAAGCCCUACGAGAGCAUUCCCUAUCAGUAUAAACUGGAUGGCAAGAUCAUCAACUACUAUUCAAAGACUGUACGUGCCAAAGACAAUACCAUGAUGUCGACUCGGUUCAAGGAAAGUGAAGAUUGCACAUUAGUUCUCCACAAG